rnacentral:rRNA from 1 species
UUAACAGAUUCCUUCGGGAUGACGUUUUUAAACUUAGUGGCGGACGGGUGAGUAACGCGUGGGUAACCUGCCUUACACAGGGGGAUAGCAGUUGGAAACGACUGGUAAUACCGCAUAAGCGCACAGUGUCGCAUGACACAGUGUGAAAACACUCCGGUGGUAUGAGAUGGACCCGCGUUGGAUUAGCUAGUUGGUGAGGUAACGGCCCACCAAGGCGACGAUCCAUAGCCGACCUGAGAGGGUGACCGGCCACAUUGGGACUGAGACACGGCCCAGACUCC